GUCGGAGUGGCGGAAUUUGGUAGACGCGCAUGGUUGAGGGCCAUGUGCCCGUUACGGGCGUGGGGGUUCAAGUCCCCCCUCCGACA
rnacentral:tRNA from 1 species